rnacentral:misc_RNA from 1 species
ACCAUUCUGGAAAACAUGAUCAUCUUGUACUUGUGACUGAUGCACGCGAUUAAAAUGACUUGAGCUUCCAUUGACAACAGGAAGAAGAUUUGUUGCUUUGUAUUUAGAAAGCUCAGCAUCCAUGCUUUUAGAUGGUGGAAGAUUCCUUUCAACCCCUGCCCCAUUUCUUGGUGGAACAAUUUCUGGUUUAGAAGCAGGUUUAGCUUCAGCAGGUGCUCCAGCUCCCUUCGAGGAAUUUGCCUGUGGAGUCUUAUGGUCUUGAGACAACUUUUGAGGGCCACCAGAAGCCUUCUUUUGAGGUAAGAGUUCAGUACUAGAGUGUACCAUCGACUGUGAAACUUUGUUACUAGUAGGAUUAGGUCCAUGUAAGAAAGCACAUCUAUCACCUUUUAGGCAGAGCCCCUUCUGGAAGAAAAUGCAUGGGACUGCUUGUUUAGCUGAAUUUUGAGGUGUGUUCAUGGCAGUUGCCACUGCCAUAUGUGAUGGAGGUAAAGAGGAUCCAGCAGAAGCUGAUGCUUGGGUUCCAAACAAGCCAUCAAGGGGUGGAUGACGAAACCCACACUUUGGAUUCAAGCAAUUCCCAUUCAACCAGAAGUAACAAUCCCUUGGGUUUACCCGGGCAUAUUCACUAUGGCGAUACUCACAUUCACUUCCCUUUUUGCAGGUUAAAGGAGAAGCAAGAAAGUAAACGCAAUCCGUAUUCCUUUUCAAGGCCUCUUCUUCUGCAGACGGC